rnacentral:tRNA from 1 species
GGGAUGGUAGCUCAGUGGUAGAGUGCUUGCCUUGCAUGCAUGAGGCCCUGGGUUCUAUUCCU